GACGAACGCUGGCGGCGUGCUUAACACAUGCAAGUCGAACGGAAAGGCCCUGCUUUUGUGGGGUGCUCGAGUGGCGAACGGGUGAGUAACACGUGAGUAACCUGCCCUUGACUUUGGGAUAACUUCAGGAAACUGGGGCUAAUACCGGAUAGGAGCUCCUGCUGCAGGGUGGGGGUUGGAAAGUUUCGGCGGUUGGGGAUGGACUCGCGGCUUAUCAGCUUGUUGGUGGGGUAGUGGCUUACCAAGGCUUGGACGGGUAGCCGGCCCGGGAGGGUGACCGGCCUCAUUGGGACUGAGAUACGGCCCAGACUCCUACGGGAGGCAGCAGUGGGGAAUCUUACACAAUGGUCGCAAGCCUGAUGCGGCGACGCCGCGGUCGGGAUGCCGGCCUUCGGGUUGUAAACCGCUUUCGCCUGUGACGAAGCGGGAGUGACGGUAAUGGGUAAAGAAGCACCGGCUAACUACGUG
rnacentral:rRNA from 1 species